AAAGACCUCUGAGCACACAGUGAAAAACAUACUAGUGAGGGAAGUGUUGUGGUGUGCAGUUAGGCCCUCCUCGCCUUGUUGAAACAAUGGUGAAGGAGCUGUUGUUCUCCCACCUUUCCUCUCCUGAUGGAAAUGAGUGCUUAAUGG